CUUUUUGCAGUGCACUCCUGAAUACGGUCCAGCUCACGGGCAUCAUUCAAGUGAUCAUUUGGAAUAGAUGAGGAGCAGGGCAGGACUGGUAAUCUGGCCUACCGGACAUUUUUCGUGUGGACCGACACACUUUGGGGCCGAUCAGGGUGGACUGGCCAUCGGGAGAACCGAGCGGGCCGCUGUGUCGGCCGCGAUAAUCUAAAACGAGCCGCCGCGUUAGCGAACACUUCCGCCCCCCCAACAACUUUUGGGCCAGUUGCUAUGUAAAAUCCCGGGCCGAUUUCUCUUUCCAGUCCAGCCCUGACAAGGAGUACAUGGAUAUUGUUGAUGUUAAACAAGGUUGAACAUGUUUGCCUCAAGUUCCUUGAAUGCAGAACCACCAUGGAGAUCCAGAACAUUUGUGGGGACAGAGAUGGGCCUUGUGAGUGUGUGCUGUUGAAGAAAUCUCUCCGCUGUCUUGCAGACUUUCAGGACGCUGUCUGACGGUCUUAUAAAUCCACCUCAGGACUUCAUGUCGAUCAGUGUGUUCAUCUUGGGAAGAGCUCUCGACACUGAGUGCUGAUAAACAGGCUGAACGUCACUGCCUGAAAUGCCAGCAUAUCAGAAGGUGCUGCCUCCAGAGUCACUGUGCUAUCCGGUGGAGAACUGUUGCCACUAGCUCUGAUGGCUUGUCUUGCUUCCAUUCUUUUGAAAGCUGAAUAAUGUGUGAUUGUUGUUAAAGAUUGUUCAGUUUAAGUCAAUUU